GGAGCGCGAGGCAGGAAGUCAUCCUGUACCACCGGUGUCGGCCGAGCAGGGCGCAGGCUGCUGGGGCAGCGGAGACCUCCUGGCAGCGGGCGGGCAGGCGGGCGUUCGGGUACCGCCGCAGUUGCGAGCCCGCCACCAUCGCAGCGCCACGGCCCGCUCCGCCAGCCUCGAGCCCGGCGCGGUCGCCGCGGGGGCUCCUGCAAACUCCCUGAAGCGGCUCCUCGGGGCAGCGACCCAGGCUUUGCCUGGGCCACCGGCCGGGGAAUCUGGAUCCGUGCUGCAGAACAGCGAGCAGUCUCCCCGUGUCCGCCCUCCUGGCGGUGAGCCCCCGAGACCCUGGUCCAGAGCGGCUGCCUUGGACCUGGGACUAGAUUGAUCCAAAACGCCAGGCCACCAUAGACCGGGCUCUGAGUCGUCUCUGAUAUGUCACCGACCAUCUCCCACAAGGACAGCAGUCGGCAGCGGCGGCCAGGCAUGUUCAGCCACGCUCUGGAUAUGAAGACUGGCCCGCUGCCGCCGGGCGCCUGGGAUGACAGUCACUCGGACUCUGUGGGCGGGGAGGGGGACCGAGAAGCUCUUCUUGGGGAUGGCAGCCCCGGUGACUUCCCAAAAGCUCCGCGGAGCUACCGAGCCGAACUAAGUAGCAUUUUGUUACUGCUCUUUCUUUACGUGCUCCAGGGCAUUCCCUUAGGCCUGGCCGGAAGCAUCCCUCUCAUUUUGCAGAGCAAAAAUGUUAGCUACACAGACCAGGCUUUCUUUAGUUUUGUCUUCUGGCCUUUCAGUCUUAAGUUGCUCUGGGCGCCCUUGGUUGAUGCUGUCUACUUUAAGAACUUCGGUCGUCGAAAGUCCUGGCUUGUCCCUACUCAGUACAUACUAGGACUCUUCAUGAUAUAUUUAUCCACCCAAGUGGACCAUUUGCUCGGAAAUACUGAUGGUAGAACACCCGAUGUCGUUGCUCUCACUGUGGCAUUCUUCUUGUUUGAAUUCCUGGCCGCCACUCAGGACAUCGCUGUGGACGGUUGGGCGUUAACUAUGUUAUCCCGGGAAAACGUGGGCUAUGCUUCCACAUGCAAUUCUGUGGGCCAAACAGCAGGCUAUUUUUUGGGCAAUGUUUUGUUUUUGGCUCUUGAAUCUGCUGACUUUUGUAACAAAUAUUUGCGGUUUCAGCCUCAGCCCAGGGGAAUCGUUACCCUUUCAGAUUUUCUUUUUUUCUGGGGAACUGUAUUUUUAAUAACAACGACAUUAGUAGCCCUUCUGAAAAAAGAAAACAAGGAAGUGUCAGUAGUAAAAGAAGAAACCCAAGGGAUUACAGAUACUUACAAGCUGCUGUUUGCAAUUAUAAAAAUGCCAGCAGUUCUGGCAUUUUGCCUUCUGAUUCUAACUUCAAAGAUUGGCUUUUCAGCAGCAGAUGCCGUGACAGGCCUGAAACUGGUAGAAGAGGGGGUGCCUAAGGAACAUCUCGCCUUACUGGCCGUCCCGAUGGUUCCUCUGCAGAUAGUACUGCCACUGAUCAUCAGCAAGUAUACCGCGGGUCCCCAGCCACUGAACAUCUUUUACAAAGCCAUGCCCUACAGGUUAUUGCUUGGAUUAGAAUAUGCCCUGCUUGUUUGGUGGACUCCUAAAGUAGAGCAUCAAGGAGGAUUCCCCAUAUAUUACUAUAUUAUAGUGCUGCUGAGUUAUGCAUUACAUCAGGUCACGCUGUACAGCAUGUAUGUGUCGAUAAUGGCUUUCAAUGCCAAGGUCAGUGACCCUCUUAUCGGAGGAACAUACAUGACCCUUUUAAAUACUGUGUCGAAUCUGGGAGGAAACUGGCCGUCUACAGUAGCUCUUUGGCUCGUGGAUCCCCUCACAGUGAAGGAGUGUGUAGGAGCAUCAAACCAGAAUUGUCGAACACCUGAUGCUAUUGAACUUUGCAAAAAACUUGGCGGCUCGUGUGUGACAGCUCUGGAUGGUUAUUAUGUGGAAUCCAUUAUCUGUGUUUUCAUUGGAUUUGGUUGGUGGUUCUUUCUUGGUCCAAAAUUCAAAAAGUUACAGGAUGAAGGACCAUCUUCAUGGAAGUGCAAAAGGAAUAACUAAUGCCAACAUUACUGGACAUUCUAGAAGGUAAUUGUAGAUUAGUUUUGCUGAGAAAGCUAUGAUAAUCAGUGUAUAGGGAUAUAAAAUACUGCUUAAUUUUAAUUUUAAAUGUCACAUAGUUGAAAAUAGAAAUUUCUUUGUGUAUUUGAUCAUAUUUUUCCUUGCCUUCUCAGUGUAUUUAAUGUUUACUUAAGGCCAGGAAACAACUCUUUUGGUUGUAUUACUUGAUUUCUGUUAAUUUACUGACCAAAGCAUAUUUUAAGCUACAGUGGAACAGUCAUGGUGGUCACCAUGCUGCCAAGUAUUGUUGUUGGUACCUGUCAUUGAGUUGUAUGUAACAUUUGGUACAAUGUAUCAAGUGGGGCAGAGCUUAAUAUUCAGGUACUAGCUGACUAGUUUGACCUUAUUGGACGUUAAUUCUCACUUUAAAUUGUAAAUUUGUAAAAAUUUAUGUGGACUCUGAUGCAAAGAAAAUGUAACUAUUAAAACAUUGAGUUUUUCUGAUCAUAAUCGAUUGUAUAAAUGAAUCUGUUAAAAUAACUAUUUUAACUGUAAUUUUUGCUUUUGUAAGCGUGGAAGAUUUAUAAAAAGAUUAUUCAAACUAUUUUUUAUAAAUGAAAUCUAUGGUUUUUAAUUUAUUGAUUUUCCUAUCUCUCCUUUUUGGGGAUGCUAUUUUGAUUUCUUGUUAACUCUUGCCCUAGGUUUACGCUAUGAUUUUGUCACAGGUACUGAGAUUAUAGACGUGUGCCGCUACAAACUCUGAAAGAGAAUAGCAGACAAGAGAUAAACCAGAAUGGUGGUUGUUGGAAGGUUGCUGAUCAGAAGUUACCGUCUAUCAUGGCCUGGCAGCUCUCUCCAAAGCUUGGCAGCAUGGGGACUACCCCCAACCCCCAGCCUGACUUCCUGCUCUCUACCUGAUCUUCUCUGGAGAAUAUCCCUGGCCCAGGAAGACUGACAUUGUCUGAAAGCUGUCUUUAAGCCUUGAUGCCUGAUUUAUCUUUAGCAUGACCCUCGGCACAGUUCCCUGCUAGAAGCCUUACCCCUGCUGCACAUAUGGUGAUUAAACUUGUAUUAGGAGCUUUGCUAUAGGACCCAGCUGCCACAAUCAAAGCCUCAUGAUAGGAGUGUGGUGUGCCACUUAGUGCAAAGUAGGGUUUGUCCCUGUAUAUUCCCUGGAAUAAAGUUGGUAGGACUUACUGAAGUCAUCUCCCAGAGGACUGUCUGUGUUGUACUCACAACUGUCUGAAUCCUGUUCCCUGCUUCUGCUGCCUCCUCCCUCAUGGAUCAGUGCACCAACAAUCUGGAGGAAAAAGCAGGAUCACAGGUAACACUGGGAAAGGAAAAGAAAAAAUGGAGUCCAGAAAUUGUGAAGAUGAUUGGAAGGAGUGUUGUCCUAGGAAGCAAAAAUAAUGACAGUAUGGGUGGGACCAGGGACUUGUUCCCAAACAAAUGUUUUUCUAACGUUUUAAUAUUUUUAAGAUUAUUUUAUUAUUUUAUGUAUUAUAAAAGUGUUUUGCCUCCAUAUUUGUAUGUAUGGACACAAUAGGCAUGCUUGGUACCCAGGGAGGCUGUUGGAUCUCCUUGAACUGGAAUUAUAGCGACGUAUGAGCUACCAUGUUGGUUUGGGGGCUUGAACCCAGGUCCUCUGUAAGAGCAGCAAGUGCUGUUAACCAUUGAGCCAAAUCUCCAACUCCAAGAAGAUAAUAUAUUUUAAUAUUUAUUAUUGUAAAAAUUAAUUGAUUAACCUCAUUAUUUUUGUCUUUUAUGAAAACAAGAAUUAAAUGUUAAUUCUUCAGGGUCAAUAUCAAAGUAAUUUUGCUAGUUGCUCCUCAAUCUAGAAUUGAACAACAGCCCUCUGGCAGCUUCCUUUUUCUCAGCUCUUCCAUCAUCGGUCUAUAGUCUUCAUUACAAGUAUAUAGAUUUCUUGUAAAGUGUAAUCAGAAAAUAAAACUUCUUCCUUUAGGAUAAAUGGUA